UCAAGAGGCUCGGUAAAGGGUUA
rnacentral:siRNA from 1 species